GUAUUCUCAUUACCUUCCCAAUCUGCCUUAUUAUAUUAUUAUACAUUACAAAUCAAGCAAUAUAAAAUUUCCUCUAAAAAGAGAAAUUGAAGGCAAUGCAAUUGAUUUCCUCUACCCUACCAUAAACUUUCCACAUACUGCAUUAGCUAACAAGGAUUUUUCACUGAUAAAAUAUAAACGAAAUUGUCAAAAUUAAAAAAGAGCAUAAAGUAUCGAUGAACAUACAAAAAGGGGAGAUGAUCCAGUAU
rnacentral:misc_RNA from 1 species